rnacentral:rRNA from 1 species
GCAUAUCAAUAAGCGGAGGGAAAAAAGAAACUAACAAGGAUUCCCUAGUAACUGCGAAGUGAAGCGGGAAAAGCUCAAAUUUAAAAUCUGGCGGUCUUUGGCCGUCCGAGUUGUAGUCUGGAGAAGCGUCUUCCGCGUUGGACCGUGUACAAGUCUCUUGGAACAGAGCGUCAUAGAGGGUGAGAAUCCCGUCUUUGACACGGACUACCAAUGCUUUGUGAUGCGCUCUCAAAGAGUCGCGUUGUUUGGGAAUGCAGCGCAAAAUGGGAGGUGAAUUCCUUCUAAAGCUAAAUAUUGGCGAGAGACCGAUAGCGAACAAGUACCGUGAGGGAAAGAUGAAAAGCACUUUGGAAAGAGAGUUAAACAGUACGUGAAAUUGCUAAAAGGGAAACGCUUGAAGUCAGUCGCGUCGUCCGGAACUCAGCUUUGCUUCGGCUUAGUGCACUUUCCGGUUGACGGGCCAGCAUCGAUUUUGACCGCUGGAAAAGGGCUGGAGGAAUGUGGCACCUUCGGGUGUGUUAUAGCCUUCAGUCGCAUACAGCGGUUGGGAUCGAGGAACGCAGCGCGCCUUAUGGCUGGGGUUCGCCCACAUUCGCGCUUAGGAUGCUGGCAUAAUGGCUUUAAACGACCCGUCUUGAAACACGGACCAAGGAGUCUAACAUGCCUGCGAGUGUUUGGGUGGAAAACCCGAGCGCGUAAUGAAAGUGAAAGUUGAGACCUCUGUCGUGGAGGGCAUCGACGCCCGGACCUGACGUUUCUCUGAAGGAUCCGCGGUAGAGCAUGUAUGUUGGGACCCGAAAGAUGGUGAACUAUGCCUGAAUAGGGUGAAAGCCAGAGGAAACUCUGGUGGAGGCUCGUAGCGAUUCUGACGUGCAAAUCGAUUCGUCAAAUUUGGGUAUAGGGGGCGAAAGACUAAUCGA